AUUCUGCAGAGGAUUUAAACCCAGGAAUGUAAGAUAGAGUGGGUACUGUGACAUCUUUAGAAGGGGUGGUCACGUGAGGCAUUGUGACAUUUUUAGAAGGGGUGUCAAAAAGGACCCAGCCUGGUGAUGAUCAGGGGAAAGAGCAGUCCAGGGCAGCAAAGGCCCUGAAGCUGCCCCAAGCCUGGGGUUUUCCAGGUGCAAAAAGCAAAUUAGCAUGACUGGAAUGUCUACAGAGGCAGAAACCAAGUCAGAUAGGGAUUUUUUAGAGUGAGCAUGAAUUUUGGAUUUUAUUUUCAAUGUAGAGGAAGCCAAGGAGAAUGGACACAAUGAGAAGGUGGCCAUCUGCAAACCCAGAAGCAGGACCUCCAAAGACACUGGACCUGCCAGCACCCUGAUCUUGGAUUUCUUGGCUC
rnacentral:lncRNA from 13 species